rnacentral:rRNA from 1 species
UUAGUGGUGUCUGGAAAACUGGGUGAUGGAGGGGGAUAACUAUUGUAAACGGUAAUUAAUACCGAUUAAUGUCGCAAGACCAAAGUGGGGGACCUUCGGUCUUCAUGCAAUCACAUGUGCCCAAAUGGGGUUAGCUAGUAGGUGGGGUAACGUCUCUCCCUAAGCGACGAUCCCUAGCUGGUUCUGAGAGGAUGACCAGCCACACUGGAACUGAGAACACCGUCCCAAACUCCUACCGGAGGAAGCAGGGGAGAAUAUUGCACAAUGCCCGCCAGCCUGAUGCAGCCAUGCCGAGGGUGUGAAGAAGGCCUUCGGGUUGUAAAGCACUUUCACCGGGGAAGGAAGCGGUGAAGGUUAAUAACCUCGUCGAUUGACAGUACCCGACAGGAAAGAAGCACCGCUUAACUCAGUGCCAGCAGCCGUCGGUAAUACGGAGGGGUGCAAGCGUUAAUCGCAAAUAAUGCGCACUAAAGCGCCACCGCAGGCGCGUCUGUCAAGUCGGAUGUGAUUAAUCCCCGGACUCAACCUGGGAACUCCAUUCGAAACUGGCAGGUAAUAGAGUCUUGCAGAAGGGGGGUACAAUCUCCAGGUGUACCGCUGAAAUGCGUAGAGAUCUGGAGGAAUACCGGUGGCGUAAGGCGGCCUCCCUGCACAAAGACUUGAUUCGCUCAGGUGCGAAUAGCGUCGUUGGACCAAACAGGAUUAGAUAGCCCAGGGGAGAUCCACGCCGUAAAUCGUAUGUCGAUUUUGGCAGCUAUGUGCCCGUUAGAGCGACGUCGCCUCUCUAGCAGCUAAUCGAGUCUAAAUCAGACUCGCCAUGGGGAGUACCGAGCCGCAAGGCUAGAAACUCAAAUGAACUGACGGGGGCACCCCGCACAAGGCGGGUGGAGCAUGUCGUGUAAUUUCCGAUGCAACGCGAAGAACCCUCACCUGGUACUUGACACUCCACAGAACUUUACUAGACAUGGAUUGCUGCUCUUCGAGUAACGUGUAAACGACAGAUGCUGACUAUGCCUGAACGUCAGUCUCGUCGUUGAUGAAAUUGUUCGUGGUUAAGUCCCACAACGAUGCGUCAACCCUUAGUCCUAUGCUGCCAGACGGUCCGGCCGAUGAACUCAAAGGAGACCUGACAGCUGAUAAUACUGGAGGAAGCUGGAGAAUGACGUCAAGUCAUCAUGGCCCUUACGACCAGGGCUACACACGUGCUACAAUGGCAUAUACAAAGAGAAGCGACCUCGCGAGAGCAAGCGGACCUCGUAAAGUAUGUCGUAGUCCGGAUUGGAGUCUGCAACUCGACUCCAUGAAGUCGGAAUCGCUAGUAAUCGUAGAUCAGAAUGCUACGGUGAAUACGUUCCCGGGCCUUGUACACACC